rnacentral:rRNA from 1 species
ACGGCUCAGUAACACGUGGAUAACCUGCCCUGCGGUGGGAAAUAACCCCGGGAAACUGGGGAUAAUGUCCCAUAGGCUACGGAUACUGGAAUGUUCUGUAGUCAAAAGAUUUAUCGCCACAGGAUGGGUCUGCGGCCGAUUAGGUAGUUGUUGGGGUAAAGGCCCAACAAGCCUUUGAUCGGUACGGGUUGUGGGAGCAAGAGCCCGGAGAUGGAUUCUGAGACACGAAUCCAGGCCCUACGGGGCGCAGCAGGCGCGAAAACUUUACAAUGCGGGAAACCGUGAUAAGGGAACUCCGAGUGUCCGUAAAUUCGGACUGUCCGUAUGUUUAAAAAGCAUACGAAGAAAGGGCCGGGCAAGACCGGUGCCAGCCGCCGCGGUAAUACCGGCGGCUCGAGUGGUGGCCACUAUUACUGGGCUUAAAGCGUUCGUAGCUUGGUUGUUAAGUCUCUUGGGAAAUCUAUCGGCUUAACCGAUAGGCGUCCAGGGGAUACUGGCAAUCUAGGGACCGGGAGAGGUGAGGGGUACUUCAGGGGUAGGAGUGAAAUCCUGUAAUCCUUGGGGGACCACCUGUGGCGAAGGCGCCUCACCAGAACGGCUCCGACAGUGAGGGACGAAAGCUGGGGGAGCAAACCGGAUUAGAUACCCGGGUAGUCCCAGCCGUAAACGAUGCACGUUAGGUGUAUCGAUGACCACGAGUCAUCGAGGUGCCGAAGGGAAACCGUGAAACGUGCCGCCUGGGAAGUACGGUCGCAAGGCUGAAACUUAAAGGAAUUGGCGGGGGAGCAC